AUUGAACGCUGGCGGCAUGCUUUACACAUGCAAGUCGAACGGUAACAGGUUAAGCUGACGAGUGGCGAACGGGUGAGUAAUGCAUCGGAACGUGCCCGGUCGUGGGGGAUAACGCAGCGAAAGCUGCGCUAAUACCGCAUACGAUCUGAGGAUGAAAGCGGGGGGCCGUAAGGCCUCGCGCGAUCGGAGCGGCCGAUGUCAGAUUAGGUAGUUGGUGGGGUAAAGGCUCACCAAGCCAACGAUCUGUAGCUGGUCUGAGAGGACGACCAGCCACACGGGGACUGAGACACGGCCCAGACUCCUACGGGAGGCAGCAGUGGGGAAUUUUGGACAAUGGGCGAAAGCCUGAUCCAGCAAUGCCGCGUGCAGGAAGAAGGCCUUCGGGUUGUAAACUGCUUUUGUACGGAGCGAAAAGGUCUCCUCUAAUACAGGGGGCUCAUGACGGUACCGUAAGAAUAAGCACCGGCUAACUACGUGCCAGCAGCCGCAGUAA
rnacentral:rRNA from 1 species